AACGAACGCUGGCGGCAGGCUUAACACAUGCAAGUCGAACGCCCUAGCAAUAGGGAGUGGCGCACGGGUGAGUAACGCGUGGGAAUAUACCGAGUAGUGGGGAAUAACGUUGGGAAACUAACGCUAAUACCGCAUACGCCCGAGAGGGGAACGGUUUAUCGCUAUUCGAUUAGCCCGCGUGAGAUUAGGUAGUUGGUGGGGUAAUGGCCUACCAAGCCUACGAUCUCUAGCUGGUCUGAGAGGAUGAUCAGCCACACUGGAACUGAGACACGGUCCAGACUCCUACGGGAGGCAGCAGUGGGGAAUAUUGGACAAUGGGCGCAAGCCUGAUCCAGCCAUGCCGCGUGAGUGAUGAAGGCUUUAGGGUUGUAAAGCUCUUUCGCCGAUGAAGAUAUUGACGGUAGUCGGAGAAGAAGCCCCGGCUAACUUCGUGCCAGCAGCCGCCGUAA
rnacentral:rRNA from 1 species